rnacentral:rRNA from 1 species
AGAGUUUGAUCCUGGCUCAGAUUGAACGCUGGCGGCAUGCCUUACACAUGCAAGUCGAACGGUAGAAGGAGCAAUCCUUCGAGAGUGGCGAACGGGUGAGUAAUAUAUCGGAACGUGCCCAGUCGUGGGGGAUAACGUAGAGAAAUUUACGCUAAUACCGCAUACGAUCUAAGGAUGAAAGCGGGGGACCGUAAGGCCUCGCGCGACUGGAGCGGCUGAUAUCAGAUUAGCUUGUUGGUGAGGUAAAAGCUCACCAAGGCGACGAUCUGUAGCUGGUUUGAGAGAACGACCAGCCACACUGGGACUGAGACACGGCCCAGACUCCUACGGGAGGCAGCAGUGGGGAAUUUUGGACAAUGGGCGAAAGCCUGAUCCAGCAAUGCCGCGUGCAGGAAGAAGGCCUUCGGGUUGUAAACUGCUUUUGUACGGAACGAAAAGGUCUGCCCUAAUACGGCGGGCCCAUGACGUAC